rnacentral:rRNA from 1 species
UGCAUGUCUCAGUGCAAGCUAAAAUAAAGUGAAACCGCAAAUGGCUCAUUAAAUCAGUUAUGGUUCAUUGGAUGAGACACCACAUUACUUGGAUAACUGUGGUAAUUCUAGAGCUAAUACAUGCAAACUGAGUUCCCAUCGGAAACGGUAGGAACGCUUUUAUUAGAUCAAAACCAAUACGUUCGUCUAGGCGAAUGAUUUCAUUGGUGACUCUGAAUAACUUUUUGAUGAUCGUAUGGUCAAAUGUACUGUCGACAUAUCUUUCAAAUGUCUGCCUUAUCAACUGUCGAUGGUAUAUUUUGCGCCUACCAUGGUCAUAACGGGUGACGGGGAAUCAGGGUUUGAUUCCGGAGAGGGAGCCUGAGAAACGGCUACCACAUCCAAGGAAGGCAGCAGGCGCGCAAAUUACCCACUCCCGGUACGGGGAGGUAGUGACGAAAAAUAACGAUACGGGACUCAUCCGAGGCCCCGUAAUCGGAAUGAGCACACUUUAAAUACUUUAACAAGUAUCAAUUGGAGGGCAAGUCUGGUGCCAGCAGCCGCGGUAAUUCCAGCUCCAAUAGCGUAUAUUAAAGUUGUUGCGGUUAAAAAGCUCGUAGUUGGAAAUGUGUCCCGCACUGUCGGUGCGCCAUUUAUGGUGUUUACUGGCAUGCUGUGGGACGUC